CGCCCGCCGCGCGCGGCGGGCGGGGCGGGGGCACGGGGGGCGUACGGGAGGCAGCAGUGGGGAAUUUUGGACAAUGGGCGCAAGCCUGAUCCAGCAAUGCCGCGUGCAGGAUGAAGGCCUUCGGGUUGUAAACUGCUUUUGUACGGAACGAAAAGGCGCCCUAAUACGGCGGGCUCAUGACGGUACCGUAAGAAUAAGCACCGGCUAACUACGUGCCAGCAGCCGCGGUAAUACGUAGGGUGCGAGCGUUAAUCGGAAUUACUGGGCGUAAAGCGUGCGCAGGCGGUGAUGUAAGACAGAUGUGAAAUCCCCGGGCUCAACCUGGGACCUGCAUUUGUGACUGCAUCGCUAGAGUACGGUAGAGGGGGAUGGAAUUCCGCGUGUAGCAGUGAAAUGCGUAGAUAUGCGGAGGAACACCGAUGGCGAAGGCAAUCCCCUGGACCUGUACUGACGCUCAUGCACGAAAGCGUGGGGAGCAAACAGGAUUAGAUACCCUGGUAGUCCACGCCCUAAACGAUGUCAACUGGUUGUUGGGUCUUUCUGACUCAGUAACGAAGCUAACGCGUGAAGUUGACCGCCUGGGGAGUACGGCCGCAAGGUUGAAACUCGAAGGAAUUGACGGGG
rnacentral:rRNA from 1 species